CAAAGACUUAAUUAAGUGGGAGACGAAGUGGCAAGGCUCAGACAGCCAGGAUGUUGGCUUAGAAGCAGCCAUCAUUUAAAGAAAGCGUAAUAGCUCACUGGUCGAGUCGGCCUGCGCGGAAGGUGUAACGGGGCUAAAUUCUGCACCGAAGCCGCGUCAGCGAUAUGUAACUAUUGGUGGGUAGUGGAGCGUUCUGUAAGCCUGUGGAUGUGUGCUGUUAUGCGUGACAUCGGAAGUGCG
rnacentral:rRNA from 1 species